ensembl:snRNA U6 U6 spliceosomal RNA
GUGCUCCUAUGGCAGCACAUGUACUAAAAUUGGAACGAUACAAAUUAGCAUGGCCCCUGAACAAGGAUGACAUGCAAAUUUGUGAAACAUUUCAUAUUUUU